rnacentral:rRNA from 1 species
GACGAACGCUGGCGGCGUGCUUAACACAUGCAAGUCGAACGGAAAGGCCCUGCGUUUGUGGGGUUCUCGAGUGGCGAACGGGUGAGUAACACGUGAGUAACCUGACCUUGACUUUGGGAUAACUUCAGGAAACUGGGGCUAAUACCGGAUAGGAGCUCAUGCUGCAUGGUGGGGGUUGGAAAGUUUCGGCGGUUGGGGAUGGACUCGCGGCUUAUGAGCUAGCUGGUGGGGUAGUGGCUUACCCAGGCUGUGGCGGGUAGGCCGCCUGAGAGGGUGGACGGGGACAUGGGGCCUGCGAUAGGCAGCAGACGCGUACAGGAGGCAGUAGUGGGGAAUCUUGUACAAUGGGCGGGAGCCUGAGACAACAACGCCGCGUGCGGGAUGACGGUCUGCGGGGCGUGAACCGCUUUCGCCUGUGACGAAGCGUGAGUGACGGUAAUGGGUAAAGAAGCACCGGCUAACUACGUG